GUGGGGAAUAUUGGGCAAUGGGGGAAACCCUGACCCAGCAACGCCGCGUGAGGGAAGAAGGUUUUCGGAUUGUAAACCUCUGUCCUUGGUGACGAAGGAAGUGACGGUAGCCAAGGAGGAAGCCCCGGCUAACUACGUGCCAGCAGCCGCGGUAAUACGUAGGGGGCAAGCGUUGUCCGGAAUGACUGGGCGUAAAGGGCGUGUAGGCGGCCGAUUAAGUCUGGAGUGAAAGUCCUGCUUUCAAGGUGGGAAUUGCUUUGGAGACUGGUUGGCUUGAGUGCGGAAGAGGUAAGUGGAAUUCCCAGUGUAGCGGUGAAAUGCGUAGAGAUUGGGAGGAACACCAGUGGCGAAGGCGACUUACUGGGCCGUAACUGACGCUGAGGCGCGAAAGCGUGGGGAGCGAACAGGAUUAGAUACCCUAGUAGUCC
rnacentral:rRNA from 1 species